UCUCUCUCUCUCUCUCUCUCUCUCUCUCUCUCUCUCUCUCUCCAUCUUCGCGCUACUCAUCUCACUCUCAUUCCGACUCCUCCACCGGCAAGCGCUCGAAUCUGCAGAGCAUCAAUGUCUAAGCACACUAUAAUAUAAGGAACCACGGAUUCUAGGGAGCUCAAAUUUGCUGAGCAAGUUGUUGCCCUUGUAAAUCCUAACAUUGGUUCUAAUAUCUGGAAAGGAAGAAUUUGAGUCACCAAUAUCCCCUGCAAUGGAUGCCGUAAUAAGAGUAUUCAAACAUGUCAAUGGACUACCUGAGCGUGAGGGUGAUGGUAAAGUGCCUGGAGCUACAUUUUGUUCAAUUCGGUUUUUGGUGGCAUCCACGUAAGCCAUUAAUCUAAUUGGAACGCAAGGCUCUUCAAUCAAGUCAAUACAGGAAAGCACCGGUGCCUCCAUUCGGGUUCUCUCAAGUGGUCGGUUAAUAUUUUCUUCUGGCAAAUGAGGUGCCACAUUAUGCCAACUCAGACAAGAGGAUUAUUGAGAUGCAGGGAGAAUCUCUCAAGGUUCUUAAGGCUAUGGAAGUUGUGGUGGGCCACUUAAGGAAGUUCUUGGUGGACCAAAGCGUUCUUCCCCUAUUUGAAAAGAGUUACAAUACACAAGCCUCAUAGGAACGCCAAGUAGAAACCUGGGCUGAGAAGUCAUUGCUGCAUAGUACUUCUCAAAUUGGGAUGGGUGCUAAUUAUCCUCUUGCAGUGAAGAGAGAUCCUCUAUUUCACAACUGUGAAACCCAGUUCGAAUCAAAUAUCCAUUCUUCUGCAAUUUCGCUGUAUGGCCAAGAUCCUGGACUUUCAGGAAUGCGUUCUUCGGGGCUUGGUCAUGCCAGUGGUCUUUUUGAAACCCAUGUUGGUUUAAUUAUUCAUUUCUCUACUAGUGUUAUCUCACAUUUCACUUUAGAUAUUAACUGUUGUGAUAUGGCGCACAUUUCCAAUCCUUUCUGCUUUGUUUAUCUCAAGUUUUGGAAGUCUAAUGAGGUAGCUAGGUGUAGACACCCCAUUUUGACCGCCUUUAAGACUCGGGCACUACUGAUUGCUUAUUUAGUGAUGCAGGCUAUGCUAUGUAAA